CCUACGGGUGGCAGCAGUGGGGAAUAUUGGACAAUGAGCGAAAGCCUGAUCGAGCGACACCGCGUGUGGGAUGAAGGCCCUCGGGUUGUAAACCACUUUUGUAGAGAACGAAAAGACACAUUUUAAUAAAGGGUGUGGCUGACGGUACUCUAAGAAUAAGCACCGGCUAACUACGUGCCAGCAGCCGCGGUAAUACGUAGGGUGCGAGCGUUAAACGGAAUUACUGGGCGUAAAGGGUGCGCAGGCGGUUGAGUAAGUCAGAUGGGAAAUCCCCGGGCCUAACUCUGGAAUUGCAUAUGUGACUGGUCGACUAGAGUGUGUCAGAGGGAGGUGGAAUUCCAGGUGUAGCGGUGAAAUGCGGAGAUAUGUGGAAGAACACCGAUGGCGAAGGCAGCCUCCUGGGACAUAACUGACGCUCAGGCACGAAAGCGUGGGGAGCAAACAGGAUUAGAUACCCUUGUAGUC
rnacentral:rRNA from 1 species